GUUUGCAUUGGUGAUAUAGGGAAUGCGGAAAGCAUUGUUCCAGCAAUCCAAGGUAUUGACGCGCUCAUCAUUCUUACAAGUUCCAUGCCAAAGGUAGAACCCAGGUCUGACCCAGCUAAAGGUGGAAGGCGGGAAUUCUGUUUUGACGAUGGAGCAUAUCCUGAACAGGUAUCAUUACCUAGAGUGUGUUUGGCUACGCAUAGAAAAUGUAAGAGUUAAUUUGGAGUAACUUUUUGUUUUCCAAAUAUUUGGUUGUGUUAAUUUAUAUCUUAUUUUCAAGUAAAAAAUGUUAAUUAAUUCGGAAGUGCUCUUACCUUAACGUACUUAUUUUCAGCCUUAACCAUUCAAGAAAGUGAUUUAUUUCUAAACUAAUUUACUAAAAGGUAAAUGUUUUAGCUUAGCCAAACAUGGUUCUAGUAGAGUUUGUGUUAGAGCUCCCUUUCUGCGUCAUCACUGAUCUUCAGUAUACAUUUCUAGGUUGAUUAGAUUGGGCAAAAGAACUAAAUAGAUGCCAGUGAGAAACAGUACUAAAAUUUACCGUUUCUAAUAGUUUCCUUACUCAACAGAAAGAUGUGAUUUAUGGGUUGAACAGCAAAAGCUGCUGGAGUGAAGCACAGUAUUAAUUGGAUGAAUGGGAGGAACUAAUGAAAACCACCCUUUAAACAGCUUGGGAAAUGGAAACAUAUUGGUUUGUUCUCCCUUUGCCUAGAUUCUCUUUUUCUUUUAUCGCCUCUUUUCAUGUACUAUUUUCUCUUCUGUCACAUCUCAAGAGGUUGAAGAUGCAUCCCCGCAUAUAGAUUGUUAUAUGUCAGUUUUUUCUUUUGAUAGUUUUCAUUCCUUCUUCCACACUCUGCCUUUUGGUUGUCUAUGUGGAUUUAAAGCUCAUGGUUACAAUGGAAGCUGAGAUAUUGCCAGUAUCUGAUUUCUCAGCUGGUAUAAUAAAAUUGAGUUCUCAUCCUAUAUAUUCAACUUAUAUUUGCAAAGAAAAGAAAAAUCUUUCUGCGAAUCAAGUCUAAAUUAAAUGGAGCGGCUUAUAAACAAUAUUGUCAAUACGCCUCUCAAUCCUGGAGCAAGCAAAAAGCUUCGCUUUAAGGUCAGUUGAGCUGAGUGACAUGUUUACUCGACCAGUGCUUGUUUUAUCUUAUAAUUUACUUGCUUUCCUCCUGGCUUCCAUUGAAAAGUAACUGUUGUUAUUCAACACAAGCAAAGCAAAAGAAGUAAAAAGACAGCAAAGAAAAUAAAAUGAUUUCUGGAAACUUGGAUAUAUUUUAUUCUCUGCACAGCUCUUUAUAUAGAGCUGGAGUUUAACAGAAUGCCAAAGAAAUUUGCUGAUUACAAGGCAUGACAACAACUUAUCUAAGAAAACUUGCAAAAUCAAAUGUUGUUAGCUCAUAAUCCCAUUAUAAUCAACUGUGAAUAUCUUGGGCUUCAAACUCAGAUGUUGAUACUAGCAAUGAGUAAGCCCUACUGUUAAUGUCUAGAGGAAUAGUGAUGAAAAAACCACCGAUUUAUGGUGGUUACAUUGUCCGCUUACUGCUGCUGAUUUUCACUACAAUGAGGAAAGAAAUUAUAAAAUUGUCCUCAUACUUCAGUGAUCUUACAGAGAAAAAUGGUCUCCCUGAUUCCUCAUGUAAUAUAGGAUAUUAAGGGGACCUAAUACAAAAUAAGGAAUGCCCAAUAUACUCCUAGACUAGGUUGAUCCAUGGACGAGGUGAUAAGUGAACUGUACAGUUAAGCUCUACAGUCCAGUAAAAUACUUUAAUCAUAUACUAGAUGAAACUUGCUGAGAAUACAUGCUCUCAACAUUUUUCGUUCAGGUUAUGCAUAAUCUGAAAAUUAACUCUCAUUUCUUUGGUUGGUGUAGGGCUGGAGGGUUGCAAGAUAAAGGCAGGCGUGUAAGGGAGCUACUUGUUGGAAAGGAUGAUUAACUUUUCAGACAGGAACAAGGACUACUGCCAUAGCCGAUAUGGCAGAAGUCUGCAUUCAGGUAAUUUCUACCUCUGGGAGCAAUAAUAAUCUGAAAAGAAGCAAUGUACGCACAAAUUUGAAGUCUUCUAUCUACACUGUAUUAUCUUGGUUUCUCAGUGGUUUUAAAGUAUCUGAUCUAAUGAAAUCUCACGAACAGUCACGCCAACUAAGGACUUCAAGACUAUUUUCCCAGAUCAGUACUCGAUUCUCAUUAAUGAGCUCAACAAUUAUCAGUUUCUUAUUUACAUUCUUAUUCAAAGCUCGAUAAUUUUUAAUUUUAAUUUUGAUCCAACCACCA
rnacentral:lncRNA from 1 species